rnacentral:rRNA from 1 species
AACGAACGUUAGCGGCGCGCUUAACACAUGCAAGUCGAGCGAGAAAGGGCUUCGGCCCCGGUAAAGCGGCGCACGGGUGAGUAACACGUAGGUAAUUUGCCCUCGGGUGGUGGAUAACUUUCCGAAAGGAAGGCUAAUACAGCAUGAGACCACGGUUCCGAAAGGGAUUGAGGUCAAAGCCGGCCAAUUCAUGAAAGCUGGUGCCUGAGGAUGAGCCUGCGGCCCAUCAGCUAGUUGGUAGGGUAAUGGCCUACCAAGGCGAAGACGGGUAGCUGGUCUGAGAGGAUGAUCAGCCACACUGGAACUGAGACACGGUCCAGACUCCUACGGAGGCAGCAGUGGGGAAUCUUGCGCAAUGGACGAAAGUCUGACGCAGCGACGCCGCAUGAGUGAUGAAGGCCUGGUUGUAAGACUCUGUUGGAGAGGGACGGAAGUAAAGUAGUCGUCGAAUAGACGGCAUGAUGACGGUA